GAUGAAGAACGUAGCAAAAUGCGAUAAGUAAUGUGAAUUGCAGAAUUCAGUGAAUCAUCGAAUCUUUGAACGCACAUUGCGCCCCUUGGUAUUCCGGGGGGCAUGCCUGUUCGAGCGUCAUUUCAACCCUCAAGCUCAGCUUGGUAUUGAGUCCAUGUCAGUAAUGGCAGGCUCUAAAAUCAGUGGCGGCGCCGCUGGGUCCUGAACGUAGUAAUAUCUCUCGUUACAGGUUCUCGGUGUGCUUCUGCCAAAACCCAAAUUUUCUAUGGUUGACCUCGGAUCAGGUAGGGAUACCCGCUGAACUUAAGCAUAUCAAUAAGCGGAGGA
rnacentral:misc_RNA from 1 species